GGAUUGNAAUGGGGGCACCCUGAUCCAGCGACCCGCGUGGAGGAUGAAGGUCUUCGGAUUUCCAACUCCUUUUAGAGGGGAGGAAAGAGCCGCUGAAGAGGCGGAAGUGACCGUACCCUCUGAAUCAGCCACGGCUAACUACGUGCCAGCAGCCGCGGUAAUACGUAGGUGGCAAGCGUUACUCGGAAUUACUAGGCGUAAAGCGCAGGUAGGCGGUUGGGUAAGUCUGUUGUGAAAGCUCCCGGCUCAACUGGGAGAGGUCAACGGAAACUACCCGGCUAGAGUGUGGUAGAGGAAGCUGGAAUUCCCGGUGUAGCGGUGAAAUGCGUAGAGAUCGGGAGGAAUACCUAUGGCGAAAGCAGGCUUCUGGGCCAUCACUGACGCUGAUCUGCGAAAGCUAGGGGAGCAAACAGGAUUAGAUACCCUGGUAGUCCUAGCCCUAAACGAUGCUCAUUAGAUGUGGGAGGUAUCGACCCCUUCCGCGUCGUAGCUAACGCAUUAAAUGAGCCGCCUGGGGAGUACGGCCGCAAGGUUGAAACUCAAAAAAAUUGACGGA
rnacentral:rRNA from 1 species